rnacentral:lncRNA from 1 species
AGGCCGGCGGUAGCUCGGUGACAUAGCCGGUGGAGCACGGCCGAGACCCUUUCUCCUCUGGAUCAUCUCGCGGGCGGCGAUGGUGGAGAAGAAGCGCGGGUGGAGGUCGAGUUCAAGGGAGGCGGCGGUGGAUACGGCGGCGGAGAGGAAGUCGAACCUGGCCUGGAGGUCGGAGAUCUGGUAGGCGGUGGCCAAGUGGGCGGAGGUUGCGGAGAGGAGGGCAAAGACGAGGGAAGCGAGGAGGUCGGGAGUGAGGGGGGUGCGGGAGGAGGAGGGCGGCGGCGACGAGGAGGAAGAUUAGGAGUGAGGCGGCGAACUGGAGGGCGCUGAGGCGGUGGACGGGGGAGCGGUCAUCGGCCACGGCGG